rnacentral:miRNA from 1 species
GCGCGCGCGCGCGCGUGUGUGUGUGUGUGUGUGUGUGUGUGUGUGUAGGGGUCACUGCCCAAUCACUCAACACA